rnacentral:rRNA from 1 species
AGAGUUUGAUCCUGGCUUAGGACGAACGCUGGCGGCGUGCUUAACACAUGCAAGUCGAGCGGAGAAUAUAGCAAUAUAUUCUUAGCGGCGGACGGGUGAGUAACGCGUGGGUAACCUGCCUUUUACAGGGGGGUAACACUGGGAAACUAGUGCUAAUACCGCAUAAAAUAGUGAAGUGGCAUCACUUUACUAUCAAAGGAGCAAUCCGGUAAAAGAUGGACCCGCGUCCGAUUAGCUAGUUGGAGGGUAACGGCCCACCAAGACGACGAUCGGUAGCCGAACUGAGAGGUUGAUCGGCCACAUUGGGACUGAGACACGGCCCAGACUCCUACGGGAGGCAGCAGUGGGGAAUAUUGCGCAAAUGGGGGAAACCCUGACGCAGCAACGCCGCGUGAAGGAUGAAGGUUUUCGGAUUGUAAACUUCUUUGAUUGGGGACGAUAAUGACGGUACCCAAAAAACAAGCCACGGCUAACUACGUGCCAGCAGCCGC